rnacentral:lncRNA from 12 species
GAGAAAAAAGCCGAUGGAUCAGGCUCUGGCCAUCUCUCCUAGAGCUCACCUCUGAGUUCAAAUGGCCUGAGGAUGAGAUUCAGAAGACAGGAGGGGUGAUCAUUCAGGCUGCCCUCGAGGCAGAGAGGAGGACUAGCCAGCAGAGGCUUCCUGGAAGUUCAGAGCCCAGACCGGGAAACAGAGGCCACUCCCCACAUCCUCCGAGGAGAGUCCCCCCACUCCCCCGCCCAAGGGUGAGGCCGAGCCACUGGCUAGUACGUGCCCAUCUCCAGGCCGUGGGGGGCCCUCCAGCCAGCCGACGCCACACAGACAGCGGUCAGCAAGCUCUCUAUUUUGGAGGAGUUUACUUUAAAAAACUGCAGUGAGCACUGUCCGAGUGUGGAGGUUUGGGAUUCCCCGAGUCACUAGGUCUCUGGUCUUGGGGUUGUCCCUGCAGAAGGCACAACAGGUAGACGGCGAGGACCGAGUAACCACUUGGGCCCGCCUUGCCUGGGGCGAUGGGGAGCCACGGAAGGGUGAAGGUCAGGGGGCAACAUCAGGGCAUUUGUCAGGAGCCCCAUUUGCUCCUGCCCUUCCUUGGAUGAGGCUGGGUGGGCUCCUCCAACCCCCAAGGAAGUAAAAGGCCAAGUUCAGGGAGACCCCAGCGCUGAGUCCCUCCCAGCCUGGAAGAGUGGAGUGCGGGCUGCUGCGCGAACCCCCUGAGGAAAGAGCCUGCUCUGGACCCUUGUCUCUGCCCCGUGGCUUUGGGCCAGUCCACCUCGCCCCCUGCCCCUGCCCUGCCCCAGGCUG